UUCUCUGAAUACUGGGUUAGGAUUUUGUGUAUUCCAAAUGAACUGCUGACUGACCAAAGAAUUGCUCUGAUUGAGAACUUGCAUAUGGUUUGAUACUCAGUUGCAAAAACAAGGAGUGCACGAAGCACACUGUAAAAGGCAAUUUAGCACACUGUAAAAGCUGAAACUACAGUGCCAGAGCUGCAAAGGACUACUCACAGUGCCCGAUCAAGGUACUCGUUUCUCCUAUUCCUAUUCUCUUAUUCAUUGACCGUAGAUUGACAUACUGCUAGUAUGUAUAUUUGCCUGCAUGACCGUAGAUUGACAUACUGCCAUGGCGGUGUAAAAAGUUGAAUAACCACAUUUAUGCUGGACAAAUGAUGUGUUUUUUAUGCUGGACUCCACUGCGUCCAAGUUUGACUGACUAUUGGAUCAUAUCCUGCUUGGGUCAACAUCCACCGGUGCCUCAUCAGUAUGAUUGAUAGAUUCAUUGUAACUGCAGCCUUUGCUUGUCUGAAUUUUGUGCAGGUAAGCAGCACAAGAGCAGCCUGUGCUAUCGUUUUAUGGAUUUGAAUUGUUGUUUUGUUCCUAAGGUAAGUUUGGCUUGCAUAACUGUCUGAACAUUCCACAACAGCUGUUAAUUUUGAAUCAAACACAUGAAUAGCUCAGUUAUCUGAGAUUUCACUAAGAAUAUGUACCAAUUUUAUAUAUAGCUGUUGAAUGCUAUUUAAAGUAAUUAGAUUACCUAAUAUGAUUCUAAAAAACUAAUAACUGAAUCUGCUUAUUCUUGAGUAGCUUGCUUGUUAACUUGGCAUAUGACGACAUGUUUCUAUAGCUGUUUCUUUUCAUGAUACUUGCUGAGUUACUUGAUCUUGUUUGCACCUUGAUCAUGGCCACAACGUUGUAUCUUUACAUAAUGUAGUACUACAUUAGCAUGGUAUCUUACACUCUUAACUUCAUUCUUCAAACCUCUUUAACCUUUCCACGGUCAUAUUUGUACAGUGUUGAAUCUCUACAUAGUGUUGAAUCUCUACAUACUUUCUAAUCUGGUUCUCAUUAGAGUAUCCGAGCCACCGCAGAUCAUCCGCUAUGUAUGCUAUGCAUCUCUAUACUUAACAACUCCCUGCUAUUUUGGUGAAAUUGAGAAGAAUGUACAUUUAUGUCUUCAAUUAACAAUAUGCUGUUUUGUUGUAGCCAAGGAGCAGUUUGCUGAAGCUGAGAGGAAAGAAAGUAGCUAGGAGGUAUUUGUAUUGCCAUUUAUUCUAGAGCAACCAUCACAUUUUGAUUGGUUAGGUGGAUACUCUAUGUAAUUGCUUACAAUUGAAUAGACUGUAAUCAAAAUUUUUGUGUACUGUGAACCAUUUAUCUUAUGUAUUUUGAUCAUGAGAAGUCUUACAUAAGGUCAAUUUUCAGACCGUUUUAUUGUUUCUUAA